UCCUGGUAUUGCAAAAUCCUUGCUUUCUGUUUCAAAAGCUACAUCAGAUUAUCCUUGCUCUUUUAAAUUUGAUGACAAUGGGGUACAUGUUAAGGACAAGCGCACAAAGAGGUUGUUGAUAAAGGGAAGAAACAUUAAGGGUCUUUACCUGUUGGAGCCGUCUGUAGAUGAUUGCGCCUUGUUCUCCUCUAGACAGCAUUCAGUUUCUGAUGAGGUUUGGCAUAGGAGGCUGGGGCAUCCUAAUCAUCAAGUGCUUCAACAGCUCUCUGCAUCAAAGUCAAUCUCAAUAAGCCGAAGUACCAAGAAGAUUUGUGAGAGUUGUCAACUUGGGAAAAGCAGUAGAUUACCUUUUUCAGCUUCUAGUUUCUCUGCUUCGAAACCUUUAGAGCGUGUCCAUUGUGAUCUAUGGGGUCCUGCACCAAUCAUGUCUGGUCAGGGAUUCAAAUACUAUGUAAUCUUCAUAGAUCACUGGUCUAGAUACAGUUGGCUUUACCCUCUAAAGAAUAAAUCAGAUUUUUAUCCUAUCUUCUGCAAAUUUCAAACUCUUGUAGAAAAUCAAUUGAGUUGCAAGAUAGGUACCUUUCAAUGCGAUGGAGGAGGAGAGUUCAUGAGCUCGACGUUCCUCUCUCAUCUGCAACGACAUGGCAUUGCUCAGCAUGUCUCGUGCCCUCACACGCCUCAGAAAAACGGUCUGGCGGAAAGAAAGCAUAGACAUGUAACUGAGCUAGCUCUCUCGAUGCUUUUUGAAAGCAAACUCCCUCACAAGUACUGGGUUGAAGCCUUCUUCAC
rnacentral:lncRNA from 1 species